GUAAAAACAAAUUAGAGCUUGGUAGUAAGCUUUUCAUUUACACUGAAACUUUAAUUGUGCAAUUCAAUUUAAUUUG
rnacentral:tRNA from 1 species